GAUGAACGCUGGCGGCGUGCUUAACACAUGCAAGUCGAACGAGAAUCAGUGGAACAAGGAUUCGUCUGAGGGAAGCUGAGGAAAGUGGCGGACGGGUGAGUAACGCGUGAGCAAUCUGCCUUGGAGUGGGGAAUAACGGCUGGAAACAGCCGCUAAUACCGCAUGAUGCAUCUGAGUCGCAUGGUUUGGAUGCCAAAGAUUUAUCGCUCUGAGAUGAGCUCGCGUCUGAUUAGCUAGUUGGCGGGGUAACGGCCCACCAAGGCGACGAUCAGUAGCCGGACUGAGAGGUUGGCCGGCCACAUUGGGACUGAGACACGGCCCAGACUCCUACGGGAGGCAGCAGUGGGGAAUAUUGGGCAAUGGGCGCAAGCCUGACCCAGCAACGCCGCGUGAAGGAAGAAGGCUUUCGGGUUGUAAACUUCUUUUAUUCGGGACGAAGAAAG
rnacentral:rRNA from 1 species